rnacentral:rRNA from 1 species
GAUCCUGGCUCAGGAUGAACGCUGGCGGCGUGCCUAACACAUGCAAGUCGAACGGGGAUAUAUUGGAAUGAGGAUUCGUCUGAAGGAAAUGUAUCUUAGUGGCGGACGGGUGAGUAACGCGUGGGCAACCUACCGUAUACAGGGGGAUAACACUUAGAAAUAGGUGCUAAUACCGCAUAAGCGCACAGCAGUGCAUACUGGAGUGUGAAAAGCCGAGACGGUAUACGAUGGGCCCGCGUCUGAUUAGCCAGUUGGCAGGGUAACGGCCUACCAAAGCGACGAUCAGUAGCCGGCCUGAGAGGGCGGACGGCCACAUUGGGACUGAGACACGGCCCAGACUCCUACGGGAGGCAGCAGUGGGGGAUAUUGCACAAUGGGGGGAACCCUGAUGCAGCGACGCCGCGUGAGUGAAGAAGUAAUUCGUUAUGUAAAGCUCUAUCAGCAGGGAAGAAUAAAUGACGGUACCUGAGUAAGAAGCCCCGGCUAACUACGUGCCAGCAGCCGCGGUAAUACGUAGGGGGCAAGCGUUAUCCGGAUUUACUGGGUGUAAAGGGAGCGUAGACGGCGAUGCAAGCCAGAUGUGAAAGCCCGCGGCUCAACUGCGGUAGUGCAUUUGGAACUGUAUGGCUGGAGUGCANGANAGGCANGCGGAAUUCCUAGUGUAGCGGUGAAAUGCGUAGAUAUUANGAGGAACACCCAG